rnacentral:rRNA from 1 species
CCCUUAGAUGUUCUGGGCCGCACGCGCGCUACACUGAUGCAUUCAACGAGUUUCUUCUGGUCCGAGAGGAAUGGGUAACCUUUUGAAAGUGCAUCGUGAUAGGGAUAGACUAUUGCAAUUAUUGGUCUUCAACGAGGAAUUCCUAGUAGACGUAGUUCAUCAGACUGCAUCGAUUACGUCCCUGCCCUUUGUACACACCGCCCGUCGCUCCUACCGAUUGAAUGCUCAGGUGAGCCAUUCGGACUUUCAUCAUGCUGGUUUCCAGUUUUGAUGAAGGAAAGUCUUGCGAACCUUAUCAUUUAGAGGAAGGAGAAGUCGUAACA